rnacentral:lncRNA from 1 species
CUCGCGUACAUACAACUUUAUAAUUACGACUUUGCUUCCAUUAUAAACGACUUUUGUUUUAUUCCGCAGUUGUUACAGGCAGCAGCUCCAGAAAGGGUGUGCUCCCCUGAAUUCUGCCCCACCAGCUUUGUGUCCCGAAUGGCAUGCAGAUGCAACUUUAAGGACCAUGAGACCAAAUGCAAGUCUGAAAAAGGAUACAGUCUCUUCCAACUACUUUAUCAGCUGAGGCAGACAGCAGUACAGGUCAGGAGAAUACUUUCCACAUAUAAGUGAAUCAGUGCUUCUCCAUAAGAACAA